GAAGAAAGACUGUUUAACAUAACGAAUCCCCAAGGGCAGGCACUGCAUCCCCUCAGAAGGGUUCUUGCCUUCCAGCCUCCACACAAGCCUCCCGAGGUAGCCCGCUCUCACACACCACUCCCACACUCCUUCUUCCCUCUUCCAAAGCACCCAGCUGCUCACUGGCCUGCCGCUCCCUCUCUGAAAUCUUCGUGCAUUCCUUCCUUCUCCUCCUCUCUCACAUAUAUAUACUUUCAAUAUAUGUCCUGCCUGGAGUAGAGAGUCUCUCCCAUGCUUUUGGGGAAAAGAAGCCCUUACUUCCCUUCCCUUUGCUGCCUCCUCCCUCGGAAGCCAGCUGGCAAAAGGCAGGUUGGAGAGAUUCCCCAAAUGAAGAACUUUUACAUGGCAAUAUUUUGAAAAUGAGUGAUUAG
rnacentral:lncRNA from 11 species